GACGAACGCUGGCGGCGUGCUUAACACAUGCAAGUCGAACGGAAAGGCCCUGCUUUUGUGGGGUGCUCGAGUGGCGAACGGGUGAGUAACACGUGAGUAACCUGCCCUGUACUUUGGGAUAACUGCAGGAAACUGGGGCUAAUACCGGAUAGGAGCUCCUGCUGCAUGGUGGGGGUUGGAAAGUUUCGGCGGUUGGGGAUGGACGCGCGGCUUAUCAGCUUGUUGGUGGGGGAGUGGCUUACCAAGGCUUUGGCGGGUAGCCGGCCUGAGUGGGUGGACGGCCACAUUGGGACUGAGAUACGGCCCAGACUCCUACGGGAGGCAGCAGUGGGGAAUAUUGCACAAUGGGCGGAAGCCUGAUGAGGCAACGCCGCGUGCGGGAUGACGGCCUUCGGGUUGUAAACCGCUUUCGCCUGUGACGAAGCGUGAGUGACGGUAAUGGGUAAAGAAGCACCGGCUAACUACGUG
rnacentral:rRNA from 1 species